GACGAACGCUGGCGGCGUGCUUAACACAUGCAAGUCGAACGGAAAGGCCCUGCUUGCGGGGUACUCGAGUGGCGAACGGGUGAGUAACACGUGGGUGAUCUGCCCUGCACUUCGGGAUAAGCUUGGGAAACUGGGGCUAAUACCGGAGAGGAGACAUCCUGAGUGUGGUGGUUGGAAAGUUUUUUCGGUGUAGGAUGAGCGCGCGGCCUAUCAGCUUGUUGGUGGGGUAAUGGCCUACCAAGGCGGCGACGGGUAGCCGGCCUGAGAGGGGGUACGGCCACAUUGGGACUGAGAUACGGCCCAGACUCCUACGGGAGGCAGCAGUGGGGAAUAUUGCACAAUGGGGGCAAGCCUGAUGCAGCGACGCCGGGUGGGGGAUGAAGGCCUUCGGGUUGUAAACUCCUUUCGCUAGGGACGAAGCUUUUUGUGACGGUACCUAGAUAAGAAGCACCGGCUAACUACGUG
rnacentral:rRNA from 1 species